UACGUAGGGUGCAAGCGUUAAUCGGAAUUACUGGGCGUAAAGCGUGCGCAGGCGGUUCGGUAAGAAAGAUGUGAAAUCCCAGGGCUCAACCUUGGAACUGCAUUUUUAACUACCGGACUAGAGUAUGUCAGAGGGAGGUGGAAUUCCACGUGUAGCAGUGAAAUGCGUAGAUAUGUGGAGGAACACCGAUGGCGAAGGCAGCCUCCUGGGAUAAUACUGACGCUCAUGCACGAAAGCGUGGGGAGCAAACAGG
rnacentral:rRNA from 1 species